AGAUUUCAUCUUGGGUUUGUCCCCCCUCUCCUUCCCCUUCCUCUUUCCCUUCCCCUUCGGCCUUUUCCCACCAGUUUGCCACCACCCGCGCUGCCCUCGCCCCAGCCGUGUGCCCCUCAGCCCCCUUGCCCAGCGACCAUGGCGUAGCGACGAAGAGAAGGCUCAAGUGGCGGCGCUGCUGGCGAUUUCAAGUGCCAGUCGGAUCUCAAUCUCACCGACCUCCCCGCGCCGUCUACCCUGCGCCUCGUCUUUCUCUUCGCCGACCUCCACAAACGCUCUACCCCACAUCACCCUACCAUGUGUCGUCGCCCCCAUCUUCAGCGCCCUAGCUGACCUCCUGAAUCCUAGCUGGUCAUUGCCGCUGCCACCCCAAUUCGGUGCCCAUCUUCAAUCGCGUCUGUUCUGUACAUUAGAGGACCGAGUUUAUACUUGAUUCGACUUUACUCAAAUUUUCGUGGCGUCGGGGUGAUAGGCGAACAACCUGUUAUACUUCCCAAUACUAGUUUCGAGUUCUCUUUGGAAAUUCUUCCUGGUUUGUGUAGAUGUGUUGAUCCUGGUAUAACCUUUUUUCACCAUUCAGUAAAGGAGUUGUGGUCUUUUUUGGUGCAUUCUUUCCUUUAUUUUGAGAUAAAUUUUGACAAUCCGUAGUGGAUAUUUGAAGUCCUGAUUAAUUCUUUCAUAGAAAGCAAGUCUGAUAUCAAUAUUUUGGGUUCAACUUUUGGAAAAUGCCCAUUUUGGAUUAUAUGAUCAUCUGUAACUCUAUUAUUUUGAUUUAGCACAUGAUAUCCCCCUUGUUUAUUUAACUUUUCUAUUUUCCACUGGAGUGUGAUCAAAGCAAGUGCUGAAGAAAUUUUGAACUUAUCCUUAUCCUUUUAUGAGCUCUUGGUGAAGUACAUUGUAGCAUAGCUAGAGUUGUCAAAGUCCGAGAAUUUCAGAAGGAGGUGAAUAUGUACUCAAAGGAUCUGAAUUACUUGUGGAUUGCUCUGAGAACCUGCAGCAGCUACAAUUUGACAAUGUUCAACAACUCCAACACCAGGAAUCUAAUUUCUACCCUUCAAAAUGCCGAAUCUCAGUGACAGCGUCGAAGCGGCAGAUGGAGGAGCAAGAAAUGAUGAACAUAGACGAAGAGGAAUACGGGGAGAAAGUGACGUGUUCGAUACAUUACUCUAGCUACUUAGAUAUAUUACAUGGUUAAGUUAUUUAGAUAUAUUUGACAUUUUGAUUAUGGAUGGAUGAAGUUAUUUGGAUGAUUAAAUAUUUAUAGAAUAUAUGUUUUGGUUGUAGUA